UUGGAGGACGGGCUAUGGAUGUUUGACAAAGAUCUUGUUAUGGUGGAGGACUAUGAUCCAAGCAAAAGGAUCGAGGACUACGAUUUCAAUGAAAUUCCUUUAUGGGUGAGAAUCUUCAGUCUUCCCCUUGGUAUGACGAAUGAGGAUACAGCGGAGGGGAUAGGGAACAUCAUUGGGCGGUUUGUUGAGGUGGAUGCUGGCAUGGAUGGGAAAGUGAUUGGAAAGUUCCUGCGAGUGAAGAUCAGGAUGAACAUAGGUAAACCAAUUAUGAGGGGAUUCCCCCUAGAUGAUGAGAAUGACAAGGAACCACAGAAGAGAAAGAAGAAAAUGAGUAUAGAUGGGAAGGAGGAAGAGUAGGAAGAGGGGCUCUGGUGUCGGUUUGAGUACGAAUACCUUCCUAACUUUUGCUACACAUGUUGUUUUAUUGGACAUGUCGCGAAGGAAUGUUCCAUCAGAAUGAACGAAGGAGAGAACCCUCAGUUUGGUCCUUGGCUGAGAACAUAUAUUGGGAGAAGGAGGUUUGUCAAUGAAGAUGACCGCAACUGGAAGGCAAAAGGUGGUAGUGUGGGAGGGAACCAGAACUAUGGGUAUAGCCGUUCGAGUGGAAGAUGA
rnacentral:rRNA from 1 species